UACGGGGGGGGGCAAGCGUUGUUCGGAAUUACUGGGCGUAAAGGGCUCGUAGGUGGCCAACUAAGUCAGACGUGAAAUCCCUCGGCUUAACCGGGGAACUGCGUCUGAUACUGGAUGGCUUGAGUUUGGGAGAGGGACGCGGAAUUCCAGGUGUAGCGGUGAAAUGCGUAGAUAUUAGGAAGAACACCGGUGGCGAAGGCGGCCCACUGGCUCGAUACUGACGCUGAGGUGCGAAAGCGUGGGGAGCAAACAGG
rnacentral:rRNA from 1 species